rfam:Puccinia graminis f. sp. tritici CRL 75-36-700-3 supercont2.21 genomic scaffold, whole genome shotgun sequence.
GCCCGGCUAGCUCAGUUGGUAGAGCAUUCGACUCUUAUCAUCAUGAGUCUCAUCCAACCCUGGUUGGUAUCGAAUUGUCGUGGGUUCGAGCCCCACGUUGGGCG